AGUGCUACCUCAAGAACCAAGUACUGCAGUCAUUAAGCAAGUUAGACUUGAAAAUCCUACUGAGGAUACUUCACAUAAAUUUUUGAAUUACACGGACGUAGAUGACAUAGAGAAGCUAAGUGAUCUAUUAGACCCACCAUGGAUAACAAAGCAGGAGCCAUUUUUAGAAUCAUUUGGUAUUAUCUUAGCCCUUGCACUAGAAACAACACCUACCUUGCAACCC
rnacentral:lncRNA from 1 species